rnacentral:lncRNA from 1 species
AGCAUCACCCGUGCCGUGCGCGGCCUACAGUGUUCCCUCGUCGGUGUGGCCUUGUGGCCCUGCAUCUGGGUUCCGAGGUCCGCUUUCGAGAUUGCGGACCACGAGUCGGAAGGAUAUCCAGUGUGCUGCUCCACGUUUGCCAUCCUCCUAACGUCCCCCACCGGAGAUGGCCUUGAGCACUUCUUACCAUGGCUGACCGCGUUGGCUCCUUUGCAUUUCCACGUCCAUAGCGUCCUUCUGCUACGGGGGACUUCGUUUGCUACUGCUGCCCACGUGUAAGAUGGAUAUCCAGCGCGCUGCUCCACGUUUGCCAUCCUCGCAACGUCUCCCCUCGGGAGAUGGCCUAGAGCACCGCUCGUACCGUGACCGACCGUUCCCCUUCGCCGGUGCGGUCUCGCUGGCAGACGAGAUUGCUCAUCGCCCUGCUUUGCUACGGGCAAGUACCACGCACAGACCACUCGUACUACGGCUGUGUCCUCGAGUGGUCGAAAAAUCAGCCUUAUUGCUUCAGUUC